UAAAGCUUGCUGUGGUGUGUAUUUUAUCAGAGAAUGAUCGCAAUGCAAAUAAUGUGUGAUUUACGUUUUCGAUUAUUUUGCCAUGCUGUGCUCGGGUAAAAUAAUUUCCUUUUUUGGAGCAGUCACCUGGGGAUGGGUGAAAGGACCAUUGUUUUCUUUUACCCAGGGGGUGCUGCUCUCCCCGGCAGGCUCCUCUGCCGGAGCUUCCCCUUUCACUCUCCACUUCUCCAUUUAAUGAGCAGCAGUAGAUGGCAGGCAGCGAGCUUUUAGGAAGGUGCUGAGAUACAGACAUUCCUAAACAAAGGGCUUUUGAGGUAUUGUGGGGGAAGACCGCUGCAUUUCAUCUUUGGUCUCUCUCUCUUUUUUACAUGAUUUUCAAAGCUCCCUGAAAAAAAUAUAUUACUCUUAAGAGUGUUUUGGGAAAUUUAACGGGAUCAAGGAAUGCUAUGUACAUCCCUGUUUAAUCUUUCUUUACAUGUACAUCCAGUGUCCCCUUCUACCUAGAGUGCAUCUUGCCUUGAGUUAACACAGAUCUUCUUAACUGGCGUCCAGUGUGAGAGUGAAGGAUGAAAUACAAACAGCAUUGGGGUUUGUGUGUAUAUGUAUGACUGGGUUCGUUCCUGCAUGUUGCUAGAGGGAUGUUUGGGGCUGUAUGGGGAGCAGCACGAGGUGACGAAGACAUUUUAUUGAGUGAUGGCUGUGCUGCUAGAACUAUUUAGAUUCCACGCCCCCCACCCCCACCCCCUGCACGUUGUAUUACAAAAGGCAACUCACAUCUGCUGUGUUUUUUCAGCUUCCCCCGCCAGUGAGAAAAUAAGGCAGGGCUGUUUUGAUGACUUCCCAUUUCUAUGGUAUUUGCUUUUUAUGGGAGAUUGUGCGCUGUCAGGUUACCCUUUGGAAAAUCAGGGAAUGCCUUCGUAGAAUAUUAACAAAUUGUGGAAUUUGCACAGUUUGUUUGGUCUCUCUGAGUUAGUCUGUGUAAGGAAACAAAUGACAGAUCUUCACAGGCUCCGAAAGCAGACUGGCUGAGGCUGUUUUUUCCAGGCGUAUUAAAUACGGGUGUACCUCAGUUCGGGCACUCGCUGUGCUGCAGGACAUCACACAGGAGGAGGUUUUGAUUGCCACACAGUUAUCUUAUGCACCUCUUAGCAAAAUAGGUGUCCCUACCUGGCACAUUUCUUAGAAGUAAGUUUGUUUUUUUCGUUGGAAGUUGAUGGGAGAGCACUGUGUGUUUGGAGGGCACUCAGGUUUUGUAUCCCCUCUCAGAAAGCUUCGUUAGCUGUAAGUGCUGCUGCUGAAGCAGUGGAUGCCAAGACAGAGGACCUUGCUCCUAGGUCUCUCCAGCUUGUAGAAUGGAAGGGAUUAAAUGUGGACUUUGCUUGUGUGAAUGCACGUACUGUUUAUUUUUUGUGUCUUUCCGGCUGAGGUUCCUCAGUGUGUUGUUAUUCCUAUUUACUGGUUUAAAUCGGGUCACCUUCAGGAAGCCAAAUUUGAAAUUGCCGUCAGGUGAAGGACUUUGGGUGUUAGAUGAGCAGAUUGGCCAAAUUUUGUGAUUCCGGGCCCAGCAUCAGAUUGGGUUUGGGAUCCGAAUAGUUGGACCAGUUGCGUCUGGCGCGCUUCCUUGGCAGUUUUUUGUUUUGCUUUGUGUAUUUAUUUAUUUAAUGGCAAUCCCGUAGCACAUUUUGGCAGUUUACUUGGGAGUGUUACUGUUGAUCUUCUGAAAUCUUUUAUUACAACAUCCUUUCUAAGAUUUUGGAAAUCCUUUAUGGAAAAGAUUUUUGCUGGGCGAAAUACUAACGUCUCAAUGACAGCUUUCUUAUUAGAUGUGGCAUUUUUGGGGUGGUUACGGGGAGGUAAAUGGCAUAGAAAUGAAGGCCAGGCUGACGUGGGAUAGUCCUUUGACACCUUCCGUCUGUAAUUUAUGCAAACCAGCAUAAUUGGCGACGGUUUCAUAUGCUUUCUCUAUACCUAGCACCAUGUUAGGCCUUGAUGUACUUGUCUCAUUCAAUCCUCAUGAACCCACUGUGAGGCGUGCUAAGAUUUACAGGUGAGGAAUGGAAGCUCAGAGAUGUUAAGUGACCUGUAUAAGGCCACACAGCGAGGAAGUUACGGAAUUGGGCCCUGAACCCCGUUCUGUUGAUCACACAGCCCUAGCUUUGAACAUGCUUCCUCCCUUCCAACUUAUCUUGAAAAGUCUUCAUAGCUGGGUUGUUGAGGUUAAUUUGCAAUGGCGAUAAACAUCAGGAGUUGUAAACUGAAUGACCUCUAGGUCUGCAUUGACCGGGAGGCUUUCUUAGCAUGGUCUCCAUUGUGUUUUAAAACUUGGGAGUUUUUACAGAAAAUGGUAAAAAUCUGACCUCACUGGGGCUCCAUUCUCACCUGGCAACAAUUAGUGGGUCCUAGGCGUCGCCCUGGAGAUGUCCCCUACACACUAUUCUAGGUUUCUCUUUAUUCGCUUGCAUGUAAUUACCUCCUUCAUAACAAGCACUGAAGGUUGGCGCAGGUCUGUUUUCUUUAAGAGGCUGCCAACUUGAAGAUGCACCAUUAUUUUACGUACCACUAAGAAAGAAUGAAAAAAAAAUUGCUGUCACACCGUGUUAUACCAUUAAUUUCAUGAAGCAUCCUUAUUUCAGGGUGUUUUAGAAUUCGUGACUCGGAUUAGAAACCUGAGAUAACCCUGGGCCGUCAGUUUCAAAUAAUACGCCAGUCAUUCAACACUUUCAAGUCAGUUGCUAGUCAGAUUUUUGCCUUUCUGUUACGGCGAAAAGGGGUAGCACGUGGGAAAUGGUCUUGACUGGACAUUGGCAGAGAAGAAGCAGGGAGCCCACAAGAGAGGCCACCUGAAUAGCUAGCCAUCUGUAAGUAAUUCAGAGUAGUCGUUAAUUUUUUAAAAAGUGGUCUGUGUGUGUUUUCAAGAGAUCACUUGGGAAACCCUGCAUGCUGUCUCUGAGGCUGUGCAAAAGCGAUCACAAGAUUGCUUUUGGAAAUUAGUUUAGAUACUGUUUGGAUCUAAGGGUGGAUGCUGAAAAGCAGUUUUGUAGAGGGAGAUAAGACUUGCCCAUUUGUUCCAAGUCCAAAUGCCUGAAUCAGGCCUAGCAGUGCUGGCUGGUAUGCUCUGUGCCCAGGACACGGGCUUACCCCGGUGACAGCCUGCAUCAUGAUUGGUAACAUUUAAGAAAAACUCUAAAAGGGCCUAGGUUUUAUUGUGAUAUUUAAAAGCAGUUAUUUUUCAUUUAUAUAUUUUUUUA